GUCAACAUGGGAGCACAGGUGACAACAAUUAUUUGCAUCGAGGAUGGAGUUGCUCUGCCUGCGACAGCAAAGACUUUGCCUUUCGGGGGAGAGG